rnacentral:rRNA from 1 species
UACGGAGGGUGCAAGCGUUAUUCGGAUUUACUGGGCGUAAAGAGCACGUAGGCUGCUUUGUAAGUUUGGUGUGAAAUCCCGGGGCUCAACUCCGGAAGUGCAUCGAAUACUGCAAAGCUAGAGUGCAAGAGAGGAGGGUGGAAUUCCUGGUGUAGAGGUGAAAUUCGUAGAUAUCAGGAGGAACAUCGGAGGCGAAGGCGGCCCUCUGGAUUGCAACUGACGCUGAGGUGCGAAAGCAUGGGUAGCAAACGGG